AUACGUAGGUGGCAAGCGUUGUCCGGAAUUAUUGGGCGUACAGCGCGCGCAGGUGGUUCCUUAAGUCUGAUGUGAAAGCCCCCGGCUCAACCGGGGAGGGUCAUUGGAAACUGGGGAACUUGAGUGCAGAAGAGGAUAGUGGAAUUCCAAGUGUAGCGGUGAAAUGCGUAGAGAUUUGGAGGAACACCAGUGGCGAAGGCGACUGUCUGGUCUUAAACUGACACUGAGGCGCGAAAGCGCGGGGAGCAAACAGGAUUAGAUCCCCUGGUAGUCCACGCCGUAAACGAUGAGUGCUAAGUGUUGGGGGGUUUCCGCCCCUCAGUGCUGCAGCUAACGCAUUAAGCACUCCGCCUGGGGAGUACGGUCGCAAGACUGAAACUCAAAUGAAUUGGCGGGG
rnacentral:rRNA from 1 species